rnacentral:rRNA from 1 species
ACACAAAAAUGCACAUGCUGUGAGCUCGAUGAGUAGGGCGGGACACGUGGUAUCCUGUCUGAAUAUGGGGGGACCAUCCUCCAAGGCUAAAUACUCCUGACUGACCGAUAGUGAACCAGUACCGUGAGGGAAAGGCGAAAAGAACCCCGGCGAGGGGAGUGAAAAAGAACCUGAAACCGUGUACGUACAAGCAGUGGGAGCACAGAGCAAUCUGUGUGACUGCGUACCUUUUGUAUAAUGGGUCAGCGACUUAUAUUCUGUAGCAAGGUUAACCGAAUAGGGGAGCCGAAGGGAAACCGAGUCUUAACUGGGCGUUAAGUUGCAGGGUAUAGACCCGAAACCCGGUGAUCUAGCCAUGGGCAGGUUGAAGGUUGGGUAACACUAACUGGAGGACCGAACCGACUAAUGUUGAAAAAUUAGCGGAUGACUUGUGGCUGGGGGUGAAAGGCCAAUCAAACCGGGAGAUAGCUGGUUCUCCCCGAAAGCUAUUUAGGUAGCGCCUCGUGAAUUCAUCUCCGGGGGUAGAGCACUGUUUCGGCAAGGGGGUCAUCCCGACUUACCAACCCGAUGCAAACUGCGAAUACCGGAGAAUGUUAUCACGGGAGACACACGGCGGGUGCUAACGUCCGUCGUGAAGAGGGAAACAACCCAGACCGCCAGCUAAGGUCCCAAAGUCAUGGUUAAGUGGGAAACGAUGUGGGAAGGCCCAGACAGCCAGGAUGUUGGCUUAGAAGCAGCCAUCAUUUAAAGAAAGCGUAAUAGCUCACUGGUCGAGUCGGCCUGCGCGGAAGAUGUAACGGGGCUAAACCAUGCACCGAAGCUGCGGCAGCGACACUAUGUGUUGUUGGGUAGGGGAGCGUUCUGUAAGCCUGUGAAGGUGUACUGUGAGGUAUGCUGGAGGUAUCAGAAGUGCGAAUGCUGACAUAAGUAACGAUAAAGCGGGUGAAAAGCCCGCUCGCCGGAAGACCAAGGGUUCCUGUCCAACGUUAAUCGGGGCAGGGUGAGUCGACCCCUAAGGCGAGGCCGAAAGGCGUAGUCGAUGGGAAACAGGUUAAUAUUCCUGUACUUGGUGUUACUGCGAAGGGGGGACGGAGAAGGCUAUGUUGGCCGGGCGACGGUUGUCCCGGUU